rnacentral:misc_RNA from 1 species
GAUGAAGAACGUAGUGAAAUGCGAUAAGUAAUGUGAAUUGCAGAAUUCAGUGAAUCAUCGAAUCUUUGAACGCACCUCGCACUCCUUGGUAUUCCGAGGAGUACGCCUGUUCGAGUGUUAUGAAGCUCUCAAAACGCAAUUGGCUUAAAACCUGAUUGUUGUUUUGGAUUUGAACUUUGCCGUGUUAUAACGGCUGGUUUUAAAAGUAUUAGCUGGUACUAGAACGAAUUGGUUCUACUCAACGUGAUAAUUAUCUGAUCGUUGAGGACAUUCCUUUCACGAGGAAUGGCCAUAGUAAAUUCAAUGGACUGCUUCUAAUCUGGCUUUAAUUCUUUAUUGGAUUAACCACUUUUCAAAUCUGACCUCGAAUCAGGUGGGACUACCCGCUGAACUUAAGCAUAUCAAUAAGCGGAGGA